UGCCAGUUCCAGCCAAGCUCCAGCUG
rnacentral:misc_RNA from 1 species